rnacentral:rRNA from 1 species
AGUGAACGCUGGCGGUAGGCCUAACACAUGCAAGUCGAACGGCAGCACAGUAAGAGCUUGCUCUUACGGGUGGCGAGUGGCGGACGGGUGAGGAAUACAUCGGAAUCUACUUUUUCGUGGGGGAUAACGUAGGGAAACUUACGCUAAUACCGCAUACGACCUACGGGUGAAAGCAGGGGAUCUUCGGACCUUGCGCGAUUGAAUGAGCCGAUGUCGGAUUAGCUAGUUGGUGGGGUAAAGGCCCACCAAGGCGACGAUCCGUAGCUGGUCUGAGAGGAUGAUCAGCCACACUGGAACUGAGACACGGUCCAGACUCCUACGGGAGGCAGCAGUGGGGAAUAUUGGACAAUGGGCGCAAGCCUGAUCCAGCCAUACCGCGUGGGUGAAGAAGGCCUUCGGGUUGUAAAGCCCUUUUGUUGAGAAAGAAAAGCAGCAGGUUAAUACCCCGCUGUUCUGACGGUACCCAAAGAAUAAGCACCGGCUAACUUCGUG